GGAUGAAUGAACCAUAAAAAAGUUUGGACAGUGGACUUCUUUUGCCUGCGUACAAAAUAUUAUCUCAGUGCAGCAGUGGCUUGUGGAUUUUUAAUUGUGGGAUGUUUGGUUUGUCAAACAAAAGGAAUGUGAGGGACAGAGUUUUUCUUUUUUAGAGGUACUUUUACAACAGGGAAGGUUUUUGUCGUUAGCAGAAACGCUCAAUAGACAGAAAAACAAACGCAGCCCUAAAAGAAAAUUACCGUGAAGUGAGGGAAACAGCCUUUCCUGCUCCGAUUGCUGACACACCGUGUGUACGGACAGAUAGGAAAAAACAAAAAACAGAUGAGAAAAACAUCGAGUUGACAACAAAUAACGCUUCUAAAUGAUUUUAUUACCGCGAGAGAUGAAACAGACAGCCGCUGGAUGGGGAUAAAAAGCGGGGAGGAACAAGCAUAUGCGCCGAUGCAGACACGGGCGAAUUCACGCAAGUGGACUACGGACCUGCACUUUUUCAGUUUUUGGAAAGGCACGGACAAUUUCAAAAUCCCUGCCAAAUAUAUUAGAGGUCAUUCACAAGUAUGCUGAACCCGGGACCAGUCUAAAGACCUACAGUAUUCACAAAGUGCAUGGCUUUUGGGAAAAUGUCUCAAGAGAUUUGGGAGUGCCUAAUACAUGUCUUAAUAGGAAAAAAAUUCUCAAAGCAGUCCUGCAGUAUGAAAAGGUAAGCAAUGUGGUAGAGGGUCCCUUGCUACAGACUGAUUUUCCUACUGCAGAGACAACACUUGGAGAUGAUGUUCCUUCCAUUGUAAGAAAUGUGUCAUACACUUACUGUCAGAUUUAAAAUUUUGAAGCCAUUAUGACAACCUUAUCCAGCUAUAGUAGAGAUCCAGCUUUUUAGAUACAAAUAAAACAAAUUCACUCCAAAAUGUCAUCUUUAAAAUAAUUUAAAUCUUGAAACAGAGUAAUAAUGAGUCAUAUGGAGAGCAAGAAAGUAGAUUACAAUAGGCUUAACAGCAAGUAAACACAUACCAAAGCAAAUCACCAAACCAUGAGGUGUAGAGCCUUAAGCACCCACAGGACAGCCUCACAAAGACCUGAGUGUCAGAUCUGACCUCCACUUUAAAGGAGUAACCAACUCAUCCUCCUGCUGCUGACUAACUUUUCACUCCUUGUCUUCCACCCUUCUAAUUUCUCCAUUUGAUCUUGUUAUUGCCCAAUCAAGUUCCAAAAUCUGAAUCAGAAUAUUACUUUAUCAUUUACAAUAAUUAUAGUACUAUAUUCCUUUGCUGAAUAUUUUUUCCCUUAUAAAACCGUCAUUACAUAGUGAUUCCUUUCAAAAUAUUUUGUAAUAAUGUAUGUUAACAAAGACAUACAGAUAUUUCAGUCUAAUUGUUAUGUUUUAAUUUAUUUGUGAUUCGUUAGAAUGAGGAAGACAUUGUUGUUGCGCCAAAGUCUCCACAAUCUGUAGGAAAUGUACCUUUACCUUCAAGAAAAGAGGUAAUUAUUUGUAUAUUAUUUAGUAUUACAUUGUGAUACCUUGGAAAAACAUUAAUUU
ensembl:lncRNA